AUUGAACGCUGGCGGCAGGCCUAACACAUGCAAGUCGAGCGGAUGAAGGGAGCUUGCUCCUGGAUUCAGCGGCGGACGGGUGAGUAAUGCCUAGGAAUCUGCCUGGUAGUGGGGGAUAACGUCCGGAAACGGGCGCUAAUACCGCAUACGUCCUGAGGGAGGAAGUGGGGGAUCUUCGGACCUCACGCUAUCAGAUGAGCCUAGGUCGGAUUAGCUAGUUGGUGGGGUAAAGGCCUACCAAGGCGACGAUCCGUAACUGGUCUGAGAGGAUGAUCAGUCACACUGGAACUGAGACACGGUCCAGACUCCUACGGGAGGCAGCAGUGGGGAAUAUUGGACAAUGGGCGAAAGCCUGAUCCAGCCAUGCCGCGUGUGUGAAGAAGGUCUUCGGAUUGUAAAGCACUUUAAGUUGGGAGGAAGGGCAGUAAGUUAAUACCUUGCUGUUUUGGCGUUACCAACAGAAUAAGCACCGGCUAACUUCGUG
rnacentral:rRNA from 1 species